GACGAACGCUGGUGGCGUGCUUAACACAUGCAAGUCGAACGGGAUUUAGUAAACAGAAGCCUCGGUGGAAGAUUACUAAUGAGAGUGGCGAACGGGUGAUUAACGCGUGAGCAACCUGCCUAUGACAGUGGGAUAGCCUCGGGAAACCGGGAUUAAUACCGCAUAAAAUCGUAGAAACACAUGUUUUAACGGUCAAAGAUUUAUCGGUCAUAGAUGGGCUCGCGUCUGAUUAGCUAGUUGGUGAGAUAACAGCCCACCAAGGCGACGAUCAGUAGCCGGUCUGAGAGGAUGAACGGACACAUUGGAACUGAGACACGGUCCAAACUCCUACGGGAGGCAGCAGUGGGGAAUAUUGCACAAUGGGGGAAACCCUGAUGCAGCGACGCCGCGUGAACGUAGAAGGUAUUCGUAUCGUAAAGUUCUGUCCUAUGGGAAGAUAAUGACAGUACCAUAGAAGAAAGCUCCGGCUAAAUACGUG
rnacentral:rRNA from 1 species